AUGGGCAUGAUUUCCUUCAUUUUAAAAAUCAUCUUGAAUCCUGAGGCACAUUUGAAAUGCAAGAUAUGUGAGGUGAAUGGCAGAAAAGAAAAAUACCAGAAGACUGAAUUUCCAAUAAAUCAAAGCAACCGAAUUUCAAUUUACAAUAGUGGAACUCAGGACAUAUUUUUCCACCAAAACAUCCAACCAAGUAUAAGUAACUUCAGAAGGCCUUAUAAAGAAUGUGCAGUAGGAAGAAGAAAAUCUGGAACCCUGAGUUAGCCUGGUGGGAAAGUCAGCCUCAGCUGAAGCCUCAACAGGCAGCUUGGAUGCUUCUUGACAUCUACAUUAAGGUGAGUUCAAAGUGGGCAGCCCAUCAGUGAUUAUCUGUAAUACCUCUGGGGAGUUUCACAUUUCACUCUGUAUUUGCUUCUCGCUGGCUGUCAUAAUAAAGUCUUUCCAAAUAAACACAUCUUUUUUUUUUUUUGUAGAUGGAGUCUUGCUCUAUCGCCCAGGCUGGAGUGCAGUGGCAUAAUGUCGACUCACUGCAACCUCCGCCUCCCAGGUUCAAGUGAUUCUCCUGCCUCAGCCUCCUGAGUAGCUUGGAUUACAGGUGCAUGCCACCACGCCUGGCUAAUUUUUGUAUUUUUAGUAGAGACGGGGUUUCACCUUAUUGGCCAGGCUGGUCUCGAACUCCUGACCUUGUGAUCUGCCCUCCUCGGCCUCCCAAAGUGCUGGGAUUACAGGUAUGAGCCACUAUGCCCGGUCAACACACCUUAAUAUUAUCUUCAUUUGCAAAAUGCCCAAUUUUUGCUCAUCUUAAAAUUUCAUUGUGUUUUGUCAGCUGCAACGAUUUGGGAAACUCAGAUAUACUCUGUAACUCUUAAUUUCAAAAUUGAUACAGAAAAUAUGCAAUCUAAAUACUGUGAUACUUAUUAAAGAAAAUGAGUUUGUAUUCAAAAAGCUUCCCACAGUUACAUUUCUGGGCACAGGUAGCUUCACCAGAAUUUUGUAGUAAACAUUUGAAGAAGAAAUAAUGUCAAUACUGUUUUCCAACCAGAAAAUAGAACAAAAGGGAGAAUUUCUUACACAUUUUAUAAGGACAGAAUAAUUGAAUAAUUCUAAUACCAAAACUAGACAAGAUCACAAGAAAAUAAAAAUACAAAUUAAUAUUCAUCAUGAAU
rnacentral:lncRNA from 1 species